AUACCCUGGAAAAGAAUUUUAGAUCAUAAGUUACUGGUAAUUAAAAAGCAUCCAUGCUAGUUGAAUCUCCAACAUAACAGAAGUUGAAUGCCAAAGCAAAGAAUCUAGUCACCUUAAAAUAUUAAUGGCAAAAUGAAAUAGGCCUAAUAUAGGAAUUCCCACAUCUACCCAACUGCCGAAAAUCCUUUAUUUUUUCAUUGUAUUAAUGCCUAAAUAAUAUGAAUAAAUUAAAUUAAAUCUGCUUUAAUCUAAUUUAGGUUAAAAGCUUUAAAAACAAACAAUCUAAUGCAUGUGUACAAACAUAAAUGUAAAGUUUUGCUCCACUGAAGCAAAUACAUCUAUACACAAUUCAUCUACUGCUCUACUUUUCAUUUUCCCCCUCAGGAACUGAAGGAUUGGCAGCUUGUUUAGAUUUGUUGUAAACUAAUCCGCUCUGUGGGAUCACACCCUCAAGUGGUCCAUCCCAAUACAGUGUGAGGCAACAAUUCAUAACAGAUCUAUAAUAAAUCUGUUAGUUUUUGACCUUUCCUUCUCUGAAAUUGAUCUUUUAUAAUUAGCUUCUUGCUAGAGGUUGCCAAAUCCAGAGUUGUUACAGACACAAGAGGACUUAGCUGGUUCUUUCCCAGCUGUUGAUUAGAACAUGCAGCAGCUUCACUAUCUACUUGACUAAGAUUUCUGAAGACUUCAAAACCACUCAGCACAAGUUCCAUUUCCAGGAUGUUUACUGCAGUCAUCUCUUGGACCUCUAAAACUAUCAUAGUGCUAGACUGAGCAAACUCUCCAGCUGAAUCUUAAUUCAGGUUACACAAAUGCAUAAUCACUGAUUUGCAAUUAAGGAACACAUUUUCUAUUCCAGAUAAGUUAGCAAUCGAACACUCACUAAUGCUUUUCACAUGAAGCCUGUAACCUGUAUGCACGAAGAAAAAAAAGUUUCUGGCUCGAAACAACUUGCCCAUAUCAUAGGGAGAGGUUUCCAUUUAUAGCAGAGGGAAGAAAAAAGCAUGAAUUAAGAAACUGAGUGAAGAUGUAAUAAAAAAUAUUUACGUGAGCAAGAUCAAGCAAAACUCACAGAAAGUCCACCUACCCAUUAACUUGCUUAAGAUCAUCCACUAAAUCAACUAUUUUUAAUCUCAUAUAGAAAUGAAAGGCUUUAACCAGAGAGAGAUUCCAUACUUUAAUUAAAAAAGAAAAUGAAAAGAGCAAACAAUUUAAGCAAGAGUGGAGAUGAAAUUGCAGAAACACACACACACAUGACCAGCCUACUACAUUUUCUGUAUACAUCAUGUGUUAGAUAAAUUGUUUUUGAAAAUAUACCUUUGUAAUUUUUUUUUUUAAAGGUUACUACUGUAUUGUGUAUUCUGUUGCCUAUAAAGAUGGAUUAGUUAUGAGUCUACAAGAACAAGACUCUGAGGGAGCUGAAGUUUCAGAAAUCUGUAGCUUAAUAGUUUCUUUCUAAACAAAAAUCAUAUAUUAAAAAUAUUUGCCCACUGGAAAGCUGGAAGUCUCCCAUUUCCAGUGAUAUAUAAUAUCGUACCUUUUUCUAGCUUUAGUACGCCACAAGAUAUCCAAACCUGAACCUAUCAAUGCACUAAAGUUAUUAAUCCUGGGUCUCAGAAAAGUAAUUUUUUUGGGAGGGACGAUAGGAUUUAGGGAAGGACACGUGAUGAGAAGCGAAGCAAAUUCUGUGGUAUGUUUAAAAAUACUUGUGGAUGUCAAGCCAAUCUGUAGAUUGUAACAUUAAUGCUCUUUCUAUAUAUGGAUAAGGCAGAUGCGAUGGUCUGUUAUGUUUCAUAUUUUACCACAUAUUCCAUACACGUGCACAUAUAUUUAAAUAAUGUAUUCCUCUAUCAUGUAUACAGACCAACUACAGCCUUUAAAAUCUUAAUGUAAAAAAAGUCCCAGGAUACAAUAUAUUACAAAAAGUCCGUGACACAUGGAUCCUAAAAAUACAGGUUUUUAUGAAGAAUAAUGUAGUGUUAUCAAUUCAGUGAUUAACUGCAGUCAUUUUUUGUUGUAAGUCCAUAACCUAUAUCUAGGCCCCCACACUCCCCCAAAUCACCACAUGAAGAAAAUAAAAAAUAAGGAGCACAGCACAUUUGUAAACCUUUUCUUAAAAAAAACAAAAAAAAACAAAAAAAAAACACACCAACUUAUUUUGCUGCUAUUUUUGUAACUACUGAAAAGUCACUUGCCUUUGUUAAUAUUUUUGUGCACUUCUGGAUGAGCCAUUAUUUUGCAAUGUCCUAGGGAUACUUGCAUAGAUAUUUGCAAUCCUGGAUUCUGGUGAUAAAAUUAAUGGGGUCAUAAGGUUAAGUACCACACUGAGCACUCUAUCCAGUACUGUAUGUUAAAAUAUUGGACUAUUUAUUCUGACCUUAGGAGCAAGCUCAGAGCAGCAGUUCUAAGUAUUAAAAGAAAGCAUCAACUUACUUCCAUCUGCGAAGUAUAAUGAUCGUUCUUUACGUGAAAGCCUCUGGCCAAAUUUAAUUUCAAAUACAAUUUGUACUUUAUAACAGUGAACAUACUUAAGUGUAAAACUAAUUUCCUUUAAAGACCUUAUAAUUUAUCAGCAUUAGAAAAGGAUGGAAAUAUCUUGCAAUUAGAUUUAGGAUCACAGAAAGGCAUUGCAGGGAGUUGUGAAUAUCAGUUAAGAGAAAUAAUACAAAGGGAUAUAAGAGGUUAACAACUCAGAGCAAACAAUAAAAUGAGACUCAUCUUGGAAAAAUGAGACCUAAAAGAAAUACUGUUAACAUGAAAAAAAGCCUCAUUUCUGAAGAAUUUGUACCUACUAUACCUACCAGAAACAGAGAUUAUUAAAGCUGUAAGGCAUUAACAAAAAAGUAUAUUUUUUUCCAGUCUGUUAACUAUGCGCAUUUGAGAUUGUUUUAUGUAGUCUGUCACCAUUUCCCCUGCAUAUUGAGUUAUUUCUUCCCUUGCUGAAAAGAUCCUAGUGUAACAGAAAACCUAACUUUUUAAAAUGAAGUUAAAUUUGACAGUGUCCAUUCAUAUAUCUGGGGAAAAUAAUUCAGAACACAAAUGUUCAAUGAGAGUGAGAAACUUAUGAAACAGAAACAUUGAAACUGAUGACAGUAGAUAAAUUAGAUACAUGUUUGCAAAGCUACUUUGUAGGAAAAAAAGCAAGUGCAAUUUGCUUACAUAGAAACAUCGUAUCAGAGUAGAAAGUCCCUCUUCCAUAUCGCUUGCAUGUCAUCAGAUGUGGAAUACUGCAUUCAAUUCUGGAUCUCACUGUUAGAGAGCACUGUGCAAAUGCAAAAUUUGGAUUCGCAUCUAUCUGCGAUCUAUAAACAUGGUCCAUGUAUACGGAUAUUAAGCGGAUAUCUGCGGAUUUGAAGGGCUCUACUAGUUACUGGACCUAUACUAAGUGGACAGAACUUAGGGAACAGCAACAAGAAACGACUAGGGAGGCCACUGUGAUUGAUUUAUAAAGAAUGAUUAAGACAGUUCAAUACUUAUAGUUUGGCAGUGACUGUUUAAUUAGCUAUGGAGUGGAACACAGUAGUGGGCAACAAAAUAUUUAAAUAGUAUAAACAUACCACAGAUACAGGGGAGUAUCUAUAAUAAAGGCAGUAUAUAAUAAAAAUGUCAACAUUUUGGUUGAGUAUCAGAGGGAAACAACUUUCCUGACAGGAAAAGCUAUUUAGAUUGAAGAAUCCUGACCCACAGAGGUGGUGGAAGCUCCAUCACCUGGGAGAUGCAAGGACUAACUAUGCUAAACAACAGAAGUGCAUAACAGGAAAUAAAACUCUGAAGUGGCAUGGAGAUGGGCUAGAUAACCUCACAGGAACGUUUCAUCUCUACUUUCUGUAAACAUAUCCGAUAAUGUCACUUUUAACAAGCAGAUCAGGACAACAACUUUAAAGAAAAGAAAGUCAAGUCUGUUUACAUAUUAUUUUCCACUCUUCCUCUUACAUGAUUGAAAUUAUUCAUCCCUAUAUAUCAAUUGCAUCAUUUUUUGGGAACCCCAGAAUGGUUUCAUAUCCUCCUUGGAGAGGAUAUUUAUGUAAACAAGUAGUUCAGAAAUCACAGAAGGUAGACCUGAGUAACCAAAAAGUUAUCUCUAGGAGAUUCCGGGGAUGUAAGGCAAGGAUGACAAGAGAGUAGUGAUAUCAGAGGUAAAUGACACAUCCUUUGAGACCAGUGGCUGGAUCUCCGUCAAGCUUUUUGCCAAAGGGUAAGCUCUGGAAAAAGAUGUGGUACCCAAAAGUGUGAACUUUUAUUAUUCUAAUUAUGUUGAUGAUACCAAUCUAGUUUAGCAGUUGUACAGAUUUAGCCCACUCUAAACCUAGGAGACCUUUGCUGGUAUCGGUGUACCUAGUGGCAAAGCAUGCCUAGUACAGAUUCAGUUUAUACUGGCAAAACUGAGCUUUUGCCAAUAUAGUUAAUAUAUUAUGGAUAACCUGAAAAAUUUUGCUUGACUAAAUGAGAGCAAGAAAGAAUUUUCUGGUCAGUCUUUCUCCUUACAAUGGCUUCUUUAAAAGUCUUAAGGGCUAUCCCUAACCCCUACUGAUGUUUAUAAAGGUCUUUUCAUCAAAGGAGAAGGCCAGCACCCCCAUUAAAUGUGUUUAGGUCUGCCCAUUUCCCACCUGUCUCUUGCUUUUGUUAACACUACUGACAGCAUGCCAGCUUCAGCAGCACUGAAGCAAGACCUCCCAACCUCUGAACUGAAGAGAAGUCCCAAAGAGUAAAAAAUCCCUCUCCUAGCUCCCACUGCUCCCUUGUCUACACUAUAGUUUGGGGAAGAAAGAACCACCUUCCUGUCUGCACCCCCAGCCACAUACAAAAUGGUCUGUGGAGGGAAGAAGGCGGUCCCCCUGGCUAUCCCUUUUUGCCUCUUGCCUAUACAGGGCUCCCAGGAAAAGGGUAUACUCUCCUGGCACCAAACUUGGAAACAGCAGAAGCUCUUCUCUUGUGUUUCUGGUAAAAAGUAAAUGCCCCCCUUACAGGCACUAAGGAGAGGCAUACAUGCUCCCCACAAAAGAAUGCAAAAGUGAUGACAUGCUAAUGACAACUCACCAUGAUCAGAACCAAGAAAGUGAAUAAACACAGUGCUGUCAAAAUGCACAAAGUAAAAAAAGCUGAGGAAACAAAAACAAAAAAAUCUUGAAUCACUUUCAGGUUCUCUUAUGUACUUCUUGCUACAAGUGGAUGUAUAACACCUCCAAAGAAUAAUGAGAUUUUUCAAGUUUACUGUGUCCCCAUAAGCUUCAGCAUGGAGAUUUUAUGGCCAAUUUAGAUGGCUCUGAAAAUAAUGUAUUAAAUUGGAAACACUGACAACUUUAACUAUGAGAACGACUAAAGCAGGUGCUGCUGUAUCUGAAGUAGCUUAUUUUAAAACUCAAGCUUCAGAUUUACAAUUCUCUGCAACUCUUUAUGAUGGUAACUACAAAGAUUAGGAAUUUUAUAGGCCCCGGGAGUUUGUGCCUAUCUAAUCUCAAACCAGUUUAAUUUUUCAAAUUCAGAACUUGAGCAAAUCCUCUUGCUGACUCAGUGGCAGCACUUUAAUUUAGCUUAAGUCGUCCUAAGGAAGAUCUACACUUACAAUGCUGCAACAGUGCAGUUGCACUGAUGCAACUGCACUGCUUAAGGAAAGAUGCUCCUAUGCUGUUGGGAGAGCUUCUCCCAUCCCCAUAAUUAAUACACCUCUGCGAGAGACAGUGUCUAUAUCAAUGGGAGAGGCUCUGAAGGUUAGGUUGGUAUAACUACAUCGUCCAGGAGUGUGGAUUUUCACAUCCCUGAGAGAUAUAGUUAUACCGAUAUAAGUCUGUAGUGUAGACUUGACUGAGGACGUAUUUGUGAUCUUGUUACUGUGUAACCACAAGUUUUGUAGAGCUGGAAGCAGGAACUCCCCAAGAGUAGUCGUAAAAACUUUUAGUUCUUGAAAACAUGAAUAACUAAUCAGCGACUUCCCUACUACACAUUAACAGAUAUUAGCUAUGUAUGGUAUUAGCAAUACAGCAGAGAAGGGGAGCAGGAAAAAAGAUGGUUACUCACCUUUGUAAUUGUUGUUCUUCGAGAUGUGUUGCUCAUAUUCAUUUCAAAUUAGGUGUGUGCGCGCCCUGUGCAUGGCCAGAGAAUUUUUUUUACCCUAGCACCACCUGGCGGGUCAGCCGUGGAGCCCCCUGGAGUGGUGCCUUCAUGGUGCUAGAUAUAUACCCCAGCCGAUUCAACGCCCCCUCAGUUCCUUCUUGCCAGCUACUCCGACAAAGGGGAAGGAGGGCGGGUUUGGAAUAAAUAUGGGCAACACAUCUCAAAGAACAACAGUUACAAAAGUGAGUAAGUGUCUUUUUUUUUUUUUUUUUUGAGUGCUUGCUCAUACUGAUUCCAAGUAGGUGACUCCCAAGCCUUACCUAGGCGGUGGGGUCGGAGUGAAGUACUGUGGAUUGUAGUACUGCUCUACAAAAUGUCGCAUCGUCUCUGGCUUUUUGGACAAUGGCAUAGUGAGAGGCAAAAGUAUAUACUGAAGACCAGGUAACAGCUCUGCAGAUCUC